GCCUUCGCCACGCCCGCUCAACGAAACGUUAAAGGAAGUUACGACGGGGCCCGCACGAAGCGGUGGAGUAUGUGGUUUAAUUCGAUGCAACGCGAAGAACCUUACCUGGUCUUGACAUCCCGGAGACCCUUAGGAAACUAGGGGUGCUUUCCAUCUGGAAGAAUCUGGAGACAGGUGCUGCAUGGCUGUCGUCAGCUCGUGUCGUGAGAUGUUGGGUUAAGUCCCGCAACGAGCGCAACCCUUGCCUUUAGUUGCCAGCAGUUCGGCUGGGCACUCUAAAGGGACUGCCGGUGUUAAACCGGAGGAAGGUGGGGAUGACGUCAAGUCCUCAUGGCCUUUAUGACCAGGGCUACACACGUACUACAAUGGCCGAUACAAAGGGCAGCGACACUGCGAGGUGAAGCCAAUCCCGUAAAAUCGGUCUCAGUCCGGAUUGGAGUCUGCAACUCGACUCCAUGAAGUUGGAAUCGCUAGUAAUCGUGGAUCAGCAUGCCACGGUGAAUACGUUCCCGGGCCUU
rnacentral:rRNA from 1 species